GGGAGAGGAGGUCCGGUAAAGAUCAGCCACACUGGAAGCGCAGUGGUAGGAGAGCAACAGAGACCGGCGACAGCGGAAGCGACACUCCAUCAAUGUGCAGCAAGUCAUGGAUUUUGCAGGGCAAACCAAUAUGGUGACGCCCUUGGGUGCGAGAUUGCCCAAAACCAUUUUGGGUCGUGUGACAUGUCCAUUGAUCUGGUCAGUGCUCCUUUGUAGCGGGGACAGCGCGAGGAGAGCUUUUCGUGAUAAAAAAGAACCCGCAUUGUCCGAUUUCCGAUCUCUUCGCUACUACACAAUGGCUCGACUGGUGCCCAAAGUUUGUUACCGCACAAGCACGAGAAAAAGGAAGGCAACAUGCACUCCGCCUGUCCCGAUGUCCUGAAGCGCUUUCGCUGCAGCAUGAUCCCACAAUUUUCUGGCUAGAGAAGACUCUCAGCAGAACAGAGGGAAGUCAUCCACCGGAGCCGAGAAUGAUUGUAUCUGCUGGCGAGUUUCAUUGGCACAAGAGUUCCACUUUUCUAGAGUAGAGAAAACACUGGAAAAGAACUAUGGUGCCAGCCCACCGAAUGUGGAGACGAGUCGACAACUGCAUAAGGACAUAGACCCUUGUGUUGUCUCAUGACGACCUACCAUUGCCAGUUCCAUAUUAAAUCACCGUCAGACGAAGGUCAGCGGUGGAAUUCCUCGCGCGUGUCAGAAUUUGUGGGAUGGGUAACGGGGCCUUUUCUUACGCACUCCAGGAUCGCACGGGAUAGUGUCUGGUGACUGGUCGAGUCCAACAGAGCAGAAGGGAGACUGUUACGUCGCCGCGAUAUCUCCGAUUUUUCGUGAUAGCUGCGUACUUCAGGCUGAUGUAAUCUGCUCCUGAACCAGGGAGAAACUUAUCAUUUAUCUGUGUUGGUC
rnacentral:lncRNA from 1 species